ACCAGAUGAGGAAUAAUCCUUUCAGAUUUGUUUGUCAAGAUCCAAGAGGCGCAGAAGAAGGAUACAAAGAAACUGCCUCCUCCAGCACCCCGAGCCAACAAGCACAGAAGAAAGGUACGGAGAACUGCCUCCUCCAGCACGCCGUCCUAUUGAUGGAAGCCUUGAUCCCUCGAUCCGUUCUUCAAGAGCCAACAGGCAUGGAAGGACGCCCCAUAUAUGGAUCUUCCUCGGGUACGAUUCAAUAACCUGUAGCCGCCGCUGCCAAGAAUAACCUGAAAGCCAACAUGUCUAGGUCAUCUAGUACACCAAAGUUCUACUGAAGCCGCAUGAUUCAAUAUGGCUUCACACCAAUCCCUUUCUUCUCUGACUUUUAAUCUCUUCAUGUUUAAAGUUCCAACCACCCUGCAAACUGCGAUAUGAUUCAAGCAAAAAGCAAUUGCGUACAUGUGUAUCUAUGAUAACUCUGCUCUGUACAUCAGAGACAAUCCACUCACUUUUUAUAUGAGGCUUAAUUUACAGAUGUUUUGUUAUGGUAACCCAUAUUAGACAGCCGAAUUUGUUGAUAUUUUCGAUGUACAGAAACAAAAUAUUGUAUGUUACUUCAAAUAUACACUAAACUUUUGAUUAUCUGUGUGGUAAUAUUGAAUCAUUUUCUCCUUGGCCAUACAUUACGGGAAUGUAAGCUAUAGUUUCAUAUAUUUUUUUAGUUACAAUACUUAUGUACAGCAAAAAGGCGCUGGAUUGAUUCAAAGACGACAAUUCAUAUGAAAUUUUCCAGCUAUUCUAACUAUGGAUCAGAGUGAGUUUUUUCUUUCUGAAUCGCAAUGUAAUUUUCCCUUCUAUUUGACUUCUUUGGGUAAUGCAUAUUUGGGUUGGGUAAUAUUUAUAUAUAUCCUGCAUCAAUGAUGUUCAGUUCAUUCCAAACCUGCUGAUUUGCUAAUCGAAUUUUAUGUUUAUUCUCAACGACACUAAAAAUACUUUCAUCACAUAUCACACUAGGGUUAUAUCAGCUAUAUUGCUCUACUGGUAUCCUAUGCAAAUUCCAAACUAUUUGUUCCUGCUAACUGUGGUCACUCCGUAUAGUUUUGUAUAUUAUUUUUAGCUUCUGAGAAACUGUGAGUAGGUCUUUUCAUUCCUUUUAGAACAUUCAGAAUCAGUACGUUCUCUCUCUAGCUCAGGAUACUACAUAGCAGCUGUUUUCUCAAUAGUAAUUCUUUUUGUAACCAUGAAUUCACAUGUUAGCGUGAUGUUCUUAAUAAGAUAGUACUUCCUCUAUAAACUAAUAUAAGAGCGUUUAGAUAACUAAAAUAGUGAUCCAAAUGCUCUUAUAUUAGUUUACGGAGGGAGUACUACAUAUAUGUUGAAUAUUUAACCAAGGACCAGUAACACAUAUGAGUAGUAUCGAGGCAAUCCCCUUCCAAUAAUAUACUAAAAGAAAUUGGAAGGAUGUAAUAAUUUCUUUUUCCGUAAGAACAACUCAUAUAAAAUAUUACAUCCUCUAUACUUAGUUCUUACAUAAUUUUCACUAAAAUAAAAUUUUGUAUGAAAAUAUUUGAUAUGUGUGUUCCUUAAAAAAUGCUAUCCCUUCCAUUCAGCGUAGGUUGAAUGGCAGCCUCGAGCCCCCGACAACUCCAAGGAGCUGCGCUGGCACAAAUGUGUGCACAGAAUGCAUACAUCUCAAUCUGAUUCUUUUGCCUUGCUAAUUCAGUAAAUGAUUAUUACGUUAAUCUCCAUUGUUCUACUAUUGAUUUCAUGGUGACGUGAUGGGAUUGAUAUGGAUGGGGGAUAUGGUAGAUUGGAGUGAAAGCACGCCACACAUCUACUGGAUGGUCGGUUUGACUAUGGGUACCAAAAGGAAACUUGAGGAUAUUUUGGAAGAGAAACUCCAUGGAGCCGUGAUUACUCAAUAGGACAAACAUUGAUGCUCGAUGUAGGACAAGAGAAGACUGCGGCCAACUGCUGACAAACUCCUCCUGUAUACCGCUACGCACAGCCUGCAUCUGAUGUCUCCAGAUGUGAUGUAUUGCUCUAGCGUGCUUCCAUUCCAUGUGUUAAUUAAAGUCAUCACAUAGUUUUUUCGACAUGCUAAACUUGCCCGAAGGAUUCAAUUGUUCUCAUCACUGCAAUCCAAUAUCGGUCACAGGUAGCUCAGCCAUUGAUGCCAGCCAUUACAAUUGAUCGGGUAGGCUAGAAGAAUAAGCAUGCCUACCAUCGACUCCAACUGUGAGAGCAAUGAAUCAACACAUCAAGUACUGCCUAAGUGUGGCUGGACGGCCAGGAUUUCUGGAUCCCGACGCCACUAUACCGGUCGAGUGCAUGAGGACAUGCCCUUUGCUGCCGGUC